GGGGGCUUAGCUCAGUUGGUUAGAGCAACUGACUCAUAAUCAGUGGGUCCAAGGUUCAAGUCCUUGAGCCCCCACCA
rnacentral:tRNA from 1 species